ACGAACGCUGGCGGCGUGCUUAACCCAUGCCAGUCGAACGGAAAGGCCCUGCUUUUGUGGGGUGCUCGAGUGGCGAACGGGUGAGUAACACGUGAGUAACCUGCCCUUGACUUUGGGAUAACUUCAGGAAACUGGGGCUAAUACCGGAUAGGAGCUCCUGCUGCAUGGUGGGGGUUGGAAAGUUUCGGCGGUUGGGGAUGGACUCGCGGCUUAUCAGCUUGUUGGUGGGGUAGUGGCUUACCAAGGCUUUGACGGGUAGCCGGCCUGAGAGGGUGACCGGCCACAUUGGGACUGAGAUACGGCCCAGACUCCUACGGGAGGCAGCAGUGGGGAAUAUUGCACAAUGGGCGGAAGCCUGAUGCAGCAACGCCGCGUGCGGGAUGACGGCCUUCGGGUUGUAAACCGCUUUCGCCUAUGACGAAGCGUGAGUGACGGUAAUGGGUAAAGAAGCACCGGCUAACUACGUG
rnacentral:rRNA from 1 species